AAAAAAAAACUUCAAUAGCCUUGUGAGAGGGCGGCAAAAAAAUAAUUGAUGUCAAAACUUGCAAAAUUAAAGGUGAUGGAAAAAAUUAAUAAAUAUCCGAAAACAUCUCUAUCCAAAUUCUACAAGCUUAAUUCAAAAGAAUUAACAAAAUUGCCCCAAAAAUAGAAUUGAAAGGUUCAGAGAGAUGGGCAAUACAAAAGAAUCGGAGGCGAGUUCACCCGUUAUGCUGGCUUUGCUCUUUUUAUUAUUUUUAAAUUAAUGGGGAGGAUACGUUGGCGGCUGAUUUCUGAGAGACUUGCCAAAAGAAAAUUGAGGAAUUUCUUCGGUUGGUGGGUGUUGAGUGACUUUCUUCGGUUGGUAGGUGGGUAUUGAGGACUUUCA
rnacentral:lncRNA from 1 species